rnacentral:rRNA from 1 species
UACGUAGGGUGCAAGCGUUAAUCGGAAUUACUGGGCGUAAAGGGCGCGUAGGCGGCCUUCUAAGUCAGACGUGAAAUCCCCCGGCUUAACCUGGGAACUGCGUCUGAUACUGGAAGGCUUGAGUGCGGGAGAGGGAUGUGGAAUUCCAGGUGUAGCGGUGAAAUGCGUAGAUAUCUGGAGGAACACCGGUGGCGAAGGCGGCUUUCUGGGCCUUACCUGACGCUGAGGAGCGAAAGCUGGGGGAGCGAACAGG